rnacentral:rRNA from 1 species
UGGGGAAUAUUGGACAAUGGGCGCAAGCCUGAUCCAGCCAUGCCGCGUGGGUGAUGAAGGCCCUAGGGUUGUAAAGCCCUUUCGGCGGGGAAGAUAAUGACGGUACCCGCAGAAGAAGCCCCGGCUAACUUCGUGCCAGCAGCCGCGGUAAUACGAAGGGGGCUAGCGUUGCUCGGAAUUACUGGGCGUAAAGCGCACGUAGGCGGCUUGUUAAGUCGGGGGUGAAAUCCCGGAGCUCAACUCCGGAACUGCCUUCGAUACUGGCAAGCUCGAGUCCGGGAGAGGUAAGUGGAACUGCGAGUGUAGAGGUGAAAUUCGUAGAUAUUCGCAAGAACACCAGUGGCGAAGGCGGCUCACUGGCCCGGUACUGACGCUGAGAUGCGAAAGCGUGGGGAGCAAACA